rnacentral:misc_RNA from 1 species
AGCAGCCGCGGUAAUUCCAGCUCCGAUAGCGUAUAUUAAAGUUGUUGCAGUUAAAAGCUCGUAGUUGAAUUUCGGGAUUGACGUAAUGGUCGUGCCUUAAGGGGUAUGAACUGUUACUGUUGAUUUCUCACCUUCUGGAGAAUCUUGAUGUCCUUAAUUGGGUGUCUUGUGGAUCCAGGACCUUUACCUUGAAAAAUUGAGUGUUUAAAGCAGGCAUUUUGCUCGAAUACAUUAGCAUGGAAUAAUAGAAUAGGACGGCAUGGUUCUAUUUUGUUGGUUUCUAGGAUCACCGUAAUGAUUAAUAGGGAUAGUUGGGGGCAUUAGUAUUCAAUUGUCAGAGUGAAAUUCUUGGAUUUAUUGAAGACUAACUACUGCGAAAGCAUUUGCCAAGGAUGUUUUCAUUAAUCAAGAACGAAAGUUAGGGAUCGAAGACGAUCAGAUACCGUCGUAGUCUUAACCAUAAACUAUGCCGACUAGGAAUCAGAC